GCCUUCAUAGCUCAGGGGUAGAGCGCGUCACUAGUAAUGACGAGGCCUCUGGUUCAAAUCCAGAUGGAGGCA
rnacentral:tRNA from 1 species